rnacentral:rRNA from 1 species
CCUACGGGUGGCAGCAGUGGGGAAUAUUGCACAAUGGGCGGAACCCUGAUGCAGCGACGCCGCGUGGGUGAGGAAGUACUUCGGUAUGUAAAGCCCUAUCAGCAGGGAAGAAAAUGACGGUACCUGACAAAGAAGCCCAGGCGAAAUACGUGCCAGCAGCCGCCGUAAUACGGAGGGGGCAAGCGUUAUCCGGAUGUACGGGGUGUAAAGGGAGCGUAGACGGCAUGCCAAGUCUGGUGUGAAAGGCCGGGGCUCAAUCCCGGGACUGCAUUUGAAACUGGCAAGCUGGAGUGCGGGAGAGGCAAGCGGAAUUCCUGGUGUAGCGGUGAAAUGCGUAGAUAUUAGGAGGAACACCGGUGGCGAAGGCGGCUUGCUGGACGAUAACUGACGUUGAGGCGCGAAAGCGUGGGUAGCAAACAGGAUUAGAUACCCCUGUAGUC